GUGGCUGCUCAUUUGAACGCUACGGUUGACCGCUGCGGCAAUAGACACUGCGAGUAGUUCCCAGUAGCAAGAACUGAAGAAAGUUGCGGAGUAUUCAGUGAAAUAUCUUUUGGGCGUAGGCUGCUGUCACAGACUAACAGGAGCAUUUAGAUCACAUAAGAUUCAAUGCUACAUAUGGAAGCUUAGGAACGUUUCCGUGAGAAGAUCAAGAUACAGUGGUCCUUGCAAUUACAGAUUGAAAACAUGGCGGUACCUAGAAAUGGUGUUUGAGAGUACAACAAAAGUUACAAGAGAGACCCGGACCUCUUCCUCAAUGACAUCACCAAAGCAAUGCAAUGGCACAUUUGCGACAUCCAAAUUUGGUUUCAAGACACAAAAUUUUGAACCAAACCGUAUCUGCUGUUGGUGUCCAUGAAACUAAGUCCAUUCAACUUUUUUUUUUCAAUUCGAGUACAAUUAAGGAAAUGUUUUAUUCUGGAAAUGAACCUAUGUAUUUUAGAUGUGUGUAGAAGCGAUAUUGAGCACAAAA